CCGGAUACGAGCUGCGACCGCAUGGUCAGUAGCUGGAAAGAAUUUCGGUCAGGGAUGAGCUCGCGGCCUAUCAGCUUGUUGGUGAGGUAAUGGCUCACCAAGGCGUCGACGGGUAGCCGGCCUGAGAGGGUGACCGGCCACACUGGGACUGAGACACGGCCCAGACUCCUACGGGAGGCAGCAGUGGGGAAUAUUGCACAAUGGGCGCAAGCCUGAUGCAGCAACGCCGCGUGAGGGAUGACGGCCUUCGGGUUGUAAACCUCUUUUAGCAGGGAAGAAGCGAAAGUGACGGUACCUGCAGAAAAAGCGCCGGCUAACUACGUGCCAGCAGCCGCGGUAAUACGUAGGGCGCAAGCGUUAUCCGGAAUUAUUGGGCGUAAAGAGCUCGUAGGCGGUCUGUCGCGUCUGCUGUGAAAACCCGAGGCUCAACCUCGGGCCUGCAGUGGGUACGGGCAGACUAGAGUGCGGUAGGGGAGAUUGGAAUUCCUGGUGUAGCGGUGGAAUGCGCAGAUAUCAGGAGGAACACCGAUGGCGAAGGCAGAUCUYUGGGCCGUAACUGACGCUGAGGAGCGAAAGGGUGGGGAGCAAACAGGCUUAGAUACCCUGGUAGUCCMCCCCGUAAACGUUGGGAACUAGUUGUGGGGUCCAUUCCACGGAUUCCGUGACGCAGCUAACGCAUUAAGUUCCCCGCCUGGGGAGUACGGCCGCAAGGCUAAAACUCAAAGGAAUUGACGGGGACCCGCACAAGCGGCGGAGCAUGCGGAUUAAUUYGAUGCAACGCGAAGAACCUUACCAAGGCUUGACAUAUAGAGGAAACGU
rnacentral:rRNA from 1 species